GAGAGCACCCACCCUCCUAGCCAACAACACCACAGUCACAGAGAAUAAGGAUGCUGUGGUCAUGACCUGCUACACAAACUCUCAGGAUCAUCCAAUG